GCGGAAGUAGUUCAGUGGUAGAACAUCACCUUGCCAAGGUGGGGGUCGCGGGUUCGAAUCCCGUUUUCCGCUCCA
rnacentral:tRNA from 1 species